rnacentral:rRNA from 1 species
AUUGAACGCUGGCGGCAGGCCUAACACAUGCAAGUCGAGCGAGCGGCGGACGGGUGCGUAAGGUAUGGGGACUGCCCGAUGGAUGGGGAUAACUAAUAGAAACGGUGGCUAAUACCGCAUACUAUCGGAUAACCCAUAUGUGAUUAGCUAGUAGGAGGGGUAAAGGCUCACCUAGGCGACGAUCUCUCGCUGGUCUGAGAGGAUGAUCAGCCACACUGGGACUGAGACACGGCCCAGAUUCCUACGGAGGCAGCAGUGGGGAAUAUUGCACAAUGGGCGCAAGCCUGAUACAGCCAUGCCGCGUGUAUGAAGAAGGUCUUAGGGUUGUAAAUUACUUUCAGUGGGGAGGCGUGACCCGCAGAAGAAGCACCGGCUAACUCCGUGCCAGCCGCCGCGGUAAUUC